CCUAAAUUUCCCACUUCCCUCCCCUUUCAUCUCAGCCCACAAUCAGUUUGGGCCACAACUAGUUCAUUUCCCCUCCUCGCCUAGGCACAGCAAACCAAAGCCCUAAUUCCCAAAUCGGCCAAACCCUAACCAGAGGACCGAGGACGUGCGCGGUGUGGCGGCGAGGACGUGCGGCAGUGCGGCGGCGGCGACUUCCUGCUGCGUCGGCGGAAGGCGGCGCCAAGGCGGGUAGGAGCCUAGGCAGCGCGUCGGGCGGCGGCGACUGCAGUCUAGUCUGCAGCGUGCUCGUCGGCGGCUGCGGCAGAGGCUUCCGGCUGCGGCGUGCGCGGCUGCGUCGGCGGCAGGAGGCGCCGAGGCGUGCAGGCGGCGCGUCGACGGCUGCGGCCGUGCGGCGUUGGGGCUCGGCCAGGCGUGCAGGCCGCCAGUCCACCAGGCCACCACACAGCUCAUAUCAAGGUUUGGAUCUGUCCGUUCUACCACCUCUAAACAGCGGUUACCGAUCGGUCAAAGUAACAAAAAAAAACAAUUUUUCCUUUCCUGCGCCAGCCCGCCGCCGCUCUUCUCUUCCUCGCGCGCACCAGCCCGCCGCCGCCAGCCCUCUGCCGUCUCCGACCGCCGGACAGCCGCCGGCUCAGGGCGCGCGCCCGCCGCCAACCCUCCGCCGCCUCCGACUACAGGACAGCCGGGCGCCGCCGCCGGCUUAGGCGCACUCCCUACCCCGCUGCCAGCCCUCCGUCUCCGCUUACCGCCUGAGCCUCCUCGCCGGUGACCCUGCUUCCCUGUAAGAAUGGAUAUGAAGUUUGACAAGUUUGACAGCUAGCCAGCCCUCCGCUCGUCGGUGACCCUGCUUCCCUGCUCUCUACGCGACUGAGAGGAAGGAGAGGCGAGGUCUGCUCGCGCCGGCACUGCGCUUUCAGGUCCGUCCCGCCCUCGCCGCCUCGCCCUACGGUGAGCACAGUGCUGACUUCUUUGUUCGCACAAAUUCAUCCAUCUAUGUCAGUCCAUGCUCAGUUGGUCACAUUCAAGAUUAACGCAAACACCGAACUCCAAUUAGCUUCCUUAACUGAUCGACAUAGAAUGAAUCAAGACAGUCACUUUCAGUAAAUUGUGUCUGACUUUCACAGUGCUACAACCGUAAGCAACCAUGAGGCGGCAUCUUAAUACAGUGAAAAACAAUGCGAACGCCACAGCAGAAUUUUCAACACAGUCAAGAAGAGGCGCACUGCAUAAUCAAACUUAACUGCUGCCGAGGUUAGGAGAAAGCAUGAAAGGGAGAGGUAUGCUUCACUCUCUACAGAACAGAAACAAGCUAGGCUUCAAAAGAACUGUAAGUAUAAACAACGUAAGAAGGAGGCGACUACAUCUCUAUCAGGUUGCAUAGAUCCCAUUGGGUCCAAACUUAACCAUGAGAAAAAAAAAAUUCACCAUGACAUGUGAAUUAUGUACUCCCAAAAUAAGAGUACAUGUCUGUGUAGGUUCACAAAUUAUGAAGGGUGCCCAUAAGAGAUAUCACAAAUUAUGCUGGCUUUGGUGCUACCCAAGCCUGUUCAGGAACCGUGAUACUGAAUGAUUGGUUGGAGGCUUGGAGCUGUCUAUUUCCCUUCAUUUCAGCCUUCCUGAUAAAAAUGCAUGCCGCCUACGUUAAUUUCUACUGUGCAGUGACAAAGCUUUGAUUUGAGACACUAUUGUAGGCCUUCUAUGGGUCUUGGAUGUGCUCAUCAACUGUUUUGAUCAGUGAAGGGGAUGCUGUUAGUGAUGGAGUUAGAACAAGACAUAAAGGCAAGCAUGAAGCAUCUAUGGUGCUUGAGACCUACUUUCUUAUUACAUCACCCAAUUUUGCUUGAACAAGAGGCAUGCAAAACAUUUGAAGGAUGGAUCAUGAUCAAAGGCAGAGGGUGAGCUGCGCCAUGGGUCGUGAAUCACCGUUGCUAUCGCCUCCAACUUGUCGCUGGAGCCACGCGCCCAGCAGCUAGAGCCAAGAUGAAUUCCUGAGAGAGUAUAUAUAUAUCGACGUGCAAGAUGUGCUUUGCACGUGCACGCUCACUAGUAAACAUAAAAAUCAAGUUUGUCCUCGCACGUUGUCGCAGGGACCAGAAAGCAAUGUUACAAAACUGCAUGAACUUGA